rnacentral:rRNA from 1 species
GACGAACGCUGGCGGCGUGCCUAAUACAUGCAAGUCGAACGCUGAAGGAGGAGCUUGCUCUUCUGGAUGAGUUGCGAACGGGUGAGUAACGCGUAGGUAACCUGCCUGGUAGCGGGGGAUAACUAUUGGAAACGAUAGCUAAUACCGCAUAAGAGUAGAUGUUGCAUGACAUUUGCUUAAAAGGUGCAAUUGCAUCACUACCAGAUGGACCUGCGUUGUAUUAGCUAGUUGGUGGGGUAACGGCUCACCAAGGCGACGAUACAUAGCCGACCUGAGAGGGGGAACGGCCACACUGGGACUGGGACACGGCCCAGACUCCUACGGGAGGCAGCAGUAGGGAAUCUUCGGCAAUGGACGGAAGUCUGACCGAGCAACGCCGCGUGAGUGAAGAAGGUUUUCGGAUCGUAAAGCUCUGUUGUAAGAGAAGAACGAGUGUGAGAGUGGAAAGUUCACACUGUGACGGUACCUUACCAGAAAGGGACGGCUAACUACGUG